UACGAAUGGGGCUAGCGUUGCUCGGAAUUACUGGGCGUAAAGGGCGCGUAGGCGGACAGUUUAGUCAGAGGUGAAAGCCCAGGGCUCAACCUUGGAAUUGCCUUUGAUACUGGCUGUCUUGAGUUCGGGAGAGGUGAGUGGAAUGCCGAGUGUAGAGGUGAAAUUCGUAGAUAUUCGGCGGAACACCAGUGGCGAAGGCGACUCACUGGCCCGAUACUGACGCUGAGGCGCGAAAGCGUGGGGAGCAAACAGG
rnacentral:rRNA from 1 species